GGGCCUGUAGCUCAGUUGGUUAGAGCGCACCCCUGAUAAGGGUGAGGUCGGAGGUUCGAAUCCCCCCAGGCCCACCA
rnacentral:tRNA from 3 species